ensembl:misc_RNA 7SK 7SK RNA
AGGCAGCAGGAAGAGAGAGACACGGGGCCACGAUCACCAAGGCUGAUUUGGUUGAUUUGACUGUCUAGACAGGUGUCCUCUUCUUCCCUCACUACUCUCUGUGUCCCUCUCAAAGCUGUGUGAUGGUCAAAGACGAUGGUCUCCUUAGAGGAGGAACAGUCUUCAGUCAAUGAUAUAAGAGUAACUGUUCCCCUGCUGGGACCUCCUCACAAGUGCUUGAUCCAAGUACACAGCACAUUAGCCUGUAGGCACCAUUUCCUAUUUAAACCUUACAAGUCCACAGAGGGCCAUGGUGCAACCUGGUUU